AGAUGCCACACCAUACCAACUGGAAUAUACGGGAUCCCGUCCGCUCUCCCCUAGUCAAGCUAGUGAGGGCCGAACUGGUACUUAAGGAGCCGAUGGGAUCCCAGAACUUUAGAACCUUGUAUCUU
rfam:Gaeumannomyces graminis var. tritici R3-111a-1 unplaced genomic scaffold supercont2.5, whole genome shotgun sequence.